UACAGAGGUCUCAAGCGUUGUUCGGAUUCAUUGGGCGUAAAGGGUGCGUAGGCGGCGCGGUAAGUCGGGUGUGAAAGUCUUGGAGCUUAACUCCGAAACUGCAUUCGAUACUGCCGUGCUUGAGGACUGGAGAGGAGACUGGAAUUCAUGGUGUAGCAGUGAAAUGCGUAGAGAUCAUGAGGAAGACCAGUGGCGAAGGCGGGUCUCUGGACAGUUCCUGACACUGAGACACGAAGGCCAGGGGAGCAAACGGG
rnacentral:rRNA from 1 species